GGGGGCGCGGCGGGGGAGGGGCGGGCGACGCAAGCCCUCCGCGCGCCGACAUCCUCCUGCCGCGCCGGGCGGUCUCUGGUGGGGGCGCCGGGGGACACCCCACCUCCGUUUCCUACGCGGUUCCUUCCGGACGACCACGGCCGGGUCUACGCAGGCUGGAAGCGGGCACGAGCGGCGGCGGAUAAGUUGAGCAGCUGGGGGCGGCUGAAACGGAUGGUUGAGGAGCUUCAUCCAUCCCAGACCUCCCCUCCCCAUCAGUAUCAAAAAAAGGGAGAAGAUAGUGGAAACACCUCCCCCUGCCCCGUGUUUUCUUCUUUUUCCCCCCAAUCUCAGUAUCAGACCUACAUCAGUUCCCUCGCGUGGGCAUCCCAGGGGAGACCUUAGUCCCCCCCCUGCGGUGGCUGUCACUCCAUUAGUGAGGACCAGGCUCUCCCCAGACCUGUCUACUGGGAGACAGUUGGGGUAACCCUAUAGUGAGAUGGGGUGGGGUGCACUGAGACCCAAGGCCGGGCUGCGGGAGUCCAGGUUGCCUGCCUACUGCUAGCUCUCAGUAUCCCCUCAGUUCGGCCCGCCCAGGAUAAGUUUCGGGAAGCAACUACACAUUUUUUCACUGAGGGUCUAGUCACGCAGGGCGGACAGUCCAGGUGUGACCUGCCCUGGGCGUUAAAUCAACUGAGGCUGAGGAGCACUAGGAUUCUGAGCUGAGGAUCAAGUGGACAAAUUCGUGCUGCAAGGAGGACAGAAGACUCCUGUGGAUGACAUUUUACAAAGUAAGGAGCAUCCUGAUUGCUGAACACGUGGAGGUGCCUGCAGAGCGUCACCCCGGACGGCGCAUGGACUCCCACAAUGCCUUGCCCUGUGCUUCUCUUCAUCUAAAUUGUCUUUUGUAUCCUUUAUUAUAUACUUUAAAUAAACUAGCAAAUGGGCUGGGCGCGGUGGCUCACGUCUGUAAUCCCAGCACUUUGGGAGGCCGAGGCUGGUGGAUCACUCAAGGUCAGGAGUUUGAGACCAGCCUGGCCAACAUAGCGAAACACUGUCUCUACUAAAAAUACAAAAAUAAGCCAGGCAUGGUGGCGGGUGCCUAUAAUCCCAGCUACUCAGGAGGCUGAGGCAGGAGAAUCGCUUGAACCCGGAGGGCGGAGGUUGCAUUGAGCCAAGAUCAUACCACUUUGCUCCAGCCUGGUGGAAGAACAAAACUCGGUUUCAAAAAAAAUAAACAAAUAAACUAGCAAAUGUAAAAUAAAUGUAAAAAGAAACAAC
rnacentral:lncRNA from 1 species